rnacentral:rRNA from 1 species
GUCUAUAGCCAUACCACCCUGAUCAUGACCAAUCCUGUCUGAUGUCAGAAGCUAAGCAGAGUUGGACCUGGUUAGUGGUUUGAUGGGAGAAAAUAACACAUGUGGCCUCAAAUCAAAAUAGGAUCUACAUAUA